AGGGAAGAAAAUGCAAACUGAAACCUGGGAAACAGUGCAGUCCAAGUCAAGGUCCUUGUUGUACAGCACAGUGUGCAUUCAAGUCAAAGUCUGAGAAGUGUCGGGAUGAUUCAGACUGUGCAAGGGAAGGAAUAUGUAAUGGCUUCACAGCUCUCUGCCCAGCAUCUGACCCUAAACCAAACUUCACAGACUGUAAUAGGCAUACACAAGUGUGCAUUAAUGGGCAAUGUGCAGGUUCUAUCUGUGAGAAAUAUGGCUUAGAGGAGUGUACGUGUGCCAGUUCUGAUGGCAAAGAUGAUAAAGAAUUAUGCCAUGUAUGCUGUAUGAAGAAAAUGGACCCAUCAACUUGUGCCAGUACAGGGUCUGUGCAGUGGAGUAGGCACUUCAGUGGUCGAACCAUCACCCUGCAACCUGGAUCCCCUUGCAACGAUUUUAGAGGUUACUGUGAUGUUUUCAUGCGGUGCAGAUUAGUAGAUGCUGAUGGUCCUCUAGCUAGGCUUAAAAAAGCAAUUUUUAGUCCAGAGCUCUAUGAAAACAUUGCUGAAUGGAUUGUGGUAAGUAUGUUUUUUAUUUACAAAGAAAACUUAAAGUGGUUUGAUCUUAAUUUUACUUGGCCAGAAGUCAUCAAAGUUACGAGAAAACAACUUAACUAUUUAUAUUAGAAUUACUUUAUAUGAAGAUUUUUAAAGUUCUAAUAUUUCUGGUUAUUAUUUCCUUCUGAAGUGAUCAGAAUCAUGUGUAUCAUUCAUAGAUUGCUUAGUAGGUGAUGGGAGUCAUUCUGUUUUACCGUGCUCCUUAGUUCAUCUCCUGGAUGGGUUACUUCUUUUGGUGCAUAUUAUUAGGGCAUUUUCAUGGGACUUAAAAAACAUUUUUUUUUGUUGUUUUUCAAGACAACUUAUUUGCCCAAAUCGUGGACUAAUUGGUGAUUUUUCCUGAUCUUUCAGUAUAAUCUCUGGGUCUUUAUCUUGUUUGUAAUAGGAAAUGUUGAACAGAAUAAGAUCAGAUACACAGCCUUUUGUAGAUCUACUAAUGAUUAUGGAUGUUCAUCCAGCAGUAAUCCACUGAACGCUUAUUUUUAAGCCCACAUAUCUCCAAGUUGUACAAACACAGAAUUACCUGAUGUUUUCUUAAAAGAUUGUCAAGAUUGACUAUCUCAACUUAAGUGUUCAUGCUUUAAAAGUGAUAACAUUAAAAUAUCUAUAGGAAGCUUGCAAAUGAUAUAUUUGAGAAUGUGCUAUAAUUGAACUGAAUGUAGUUUGCUUUGGAAAUUGACUUAUAACUCACAUUCCCCUUUCUCAAAUUAGUGUGUAUGUGUGUGUGUGUGUAUGUAUGUAUGUGUGUGUUCAGAACUAUGGAUGCCUUAAAGCACAAAAGAUGUUGUUUGUGUGGGAUGUCAGCCUUUUUUGUACUCUUCUAAUAACAUUCUAGAGUAAAAAUUUUAUAGUUAACCCCAGCAUUUAAAAUGAUGUUUACCGUUCCUAGGACACAUUAGGAUAUGUGGUUUUUAGAUAUGUAAUGAUCAUGGAGUAGAAGGAUUGUUGAAAUUGGAUUUAGGAGAUCUACCUAGGUUUCAAACCAAAUACUUGAGCAGUUGACUUAACUUAGGUUUCCUUAAAACAUGUUACUCUUUUUUUAAAUUCCUGUGCUUGUUGCGUGGUAAGUUCUAGUAAAUACCUGUCAAACUGAAGUUGUC
rnacentral:lncRNA from 10 species